rnacentral:rRNA from 1 species
UACGAAGGGAGCUAGCGUUGUUCGGAAUCACUGGGCGUAAAGCGCACGUAGGCGGCUUUGUAAGUUAGAGGUGAAAGCCCAGGGCUUAACCCUGGAAUUGCCUUUAAGACUGCAUCGCUAGAAUUGUGGAGAGGUAAGUGGAAUUCCGAGUGUAGAGGUGAAAUUCGUAGAUAUUCGGAAGAACACCAGUGGCGAAGGCGACUUACUGGACACAUAUUGACGCUGAGGUGCGAAAGCGUGGGGAGCAAACAGG